GUGUGCACAUGCACAUAAACGGGCCAUUGUAUGGCGUUCGAGACACGUUUAACGACAUGCACGAAGAGUAAUCGUGGCGAAGAAUCAGCGGCCUUUCUCCCAACGCCUCCUCACGUUCAUUCCGUUACCAUACGGUCACCGGUGCGCUUAUCUCCCACCUUCGCGAGAAACUUCGACCUGAAUCUCUUUAAAGACUGCAUUACGCGUGGCCGUUUCUCGUUUCUCGUUUCUCCAACGAUCUUGUUUUGCUCGCGACUACGAGAGGAACCAGGACGUUGCCAUGCGAGCCUCUAUCGAUGUACAGUGAAAUUUUCCGUUAACCGACAACCGACACCCUUUUUCUUUUCCUCCUCUCUAUUCUUCUUUUUUUUUAAUUAGAUUUUUCUUUACCAAAAUCAUUCGAUCGAAUACGAGGACCCCUCUUUCGAUUAUAAGAUACUCGUUUGUGCUAUAAACGAAAUUCAAGUAUAUUCCAUUGAAUUAUUUUCAAGUAAGAAUAAUGGAUACCAAGAUUACGAUUCGUUUGUUUUACAAAUGUCAUGCUUUAUAUUUUGUGUUGUAAAUGUGAGAAUAUAUAUCUUCUUUACCAUAUGCAGGCAAUCCGAAUUCAAUUUUUUUUCAAAACAAAUAUAAGGAUUUAAGUGAAUUAUAUUAUAAACUUUCAAUCGAAAUUAAUAUAUUAAUAAUUAAUGCAACCAGCCUACAUAUCCCGACUCGACGUGAAUUGCGUAAAAACUUCAAGAGGCCGAUCAAAGUGGAUUUAAAAAAAAAAUGCCACAAUCUGCGUGUCUUAUUU